rnacentral:lncRNA from 1 species
GACAUAUACAAAAUGUUUUUUAAAUAAAUAUGGGUGUCUGAAGAGGAUUUUAAAAGGGUUCCUUUGUCUAAGACCAACUGUUAUUUUUUGAGGCUUCCUCAUUUAAUUUUUUAUUUAGUUUUUCUUUGUUUUUUACCGUUUGCCUGCUUGAAGCCUCUUUUAAGGCAUGUACUCUUUUAUUUCUUACUCAGUACUCAUGGCCCUUCUAUUCAUUAUUCUCAUAAAUUAGCCCGGGCUGUUUUGGCUCGCUGAGCAAAACCGCUCAGAGCUCAUAUAACAGAGGCUAAGCCAAAGAGAAGAGGACGUAAACCCCAGGCCAGCUUGGGGAACGCCUGUGGGUAGGUGGCAAACGUAAUGCCUUCAGCGUCUGGGAAGUAAAACGAAUGGAUGAUGCCGGCCAAGCGCAAUGUUUGAGAGUGGUGAGGGUUUUGGUAAAUGCAGAAUGUCCCCCGUCUGUGACGCCCACUCCCAACCUCAGCAGAUAAUUACAAGGCGGUGACGGGACCACAUGUAGCAGCCUAAUCUAGUUAUUGUAUUACAAAGGCUGGAAAUGUGGAUUUGUACACAAAACCUCCCCAUUUUCAAAUUCUGGCAACUACUACAAUGAAAACAAAGACACACGCGCCCCCGGCCUCUGAUUUGCGAAUGCUGUUCGGCCGCUCCCCCAAGACUUUUUCACGGAGAUCCCAAGGGCCUAUUAUUGAGCCUAGUUUUCUUCUCCAAAGCUCCAGAAACAUGACAACGAGAAGGAGGACUCCCCAGCCUUGUGGAGAUCGGAAGAGGAGAUGGCAGCCGAAGCCGCGGCGCUGCGUGGCUACUUUCAGUGACGCAGGCACCAAAGGAACUCAAACAAGUCCCAAGGCGUAAGGAAAUGGGGCUCGUGCUUUAGGACCCUGCGGCACUGAAAAUGAAGCGAAGCAGACUUUAUUACAUCCUACAAUUCGACAACCUUUUGCAAAGCAUCUUAUUAUGCUUGUGGAAGCAAUCGGGGUUAUGUUUCAAUCACAACGACUGACAGGCUGCCUUCAGAACAACGGCACCCGUGGCCCUUCCACACUUCUUCGGCUAUGUACUUAGAAUAGAACCUUUUCUAAAUUGUCCCUUGGCCUGGAUGGAAAUAAAAUGAUAGUUAAAAUAUUUAGCUUGCAUGUUGGCUAACUUAAAAAUUGACAUUUGGGGUCCUCUGAAAGGCACAACUGAGGAUAGAUCAAGUCUCCUGUGUUUCCUGUAAACCAAAGGUUUGUUAAGGCUGAGAGAAGAUUUACAGAGUUUCCUUCGUGGUAGGUAAGAUAAUAGAGUAAGAAAUGUCCACCUUUUCCUCGGUUAUAUUCUCCUCCUGCCUUGGGUGCAGAGAGGCAGAUCUGAAAGAGCUUAAGAUGGCAAAAUUAGCUUCAGGAAACUAAUAAACACGUAAUGUGCUGACUGGACACCGUUCUGGGCUGCUGGAGUGGUAGGAAUGUAAGGAAAAGAAUGGGGAAGCUCUCAAAAUUGGUUGAGGAAACAUGCCCCUUGCCCGUAACGGUCAAUUUCUUUAAGGAAGGAUGACAGAAGUAGGCUCUUUCUUUCCUCUGGUAGAUUAAUAAAACAGGGGAUUCGAGUUUAUAGAGGAAAAAGUAAAACACGCCAAGAGCACUGCUACAAAGAGCCCAGAGCAGGACUUCUCUUUGUCACAAAAAGCCUCC